GAUGAACGCUAGCUACAGGCUUAACACAUGCAAGUCGUGGGGCAGCAUGAAGGAAGCUUGCUUCCUUUGAUGGCGACCGGCGCACGGGUGAGUAACGCGUAUCCAACCUUCCCCUUACUAGAGGAUAGCCCGGCGAAAGUCGGAUUAAUACUCUAUGUUCUCCUUUGCAGGCAUCUAAUGAGGAGCAAGGAUUCAUCGGUAAGGGAUGGGGAUGCGUCUGAUUAGCUUGCCGGCGGGGUAACGGCCCACCAAAGCGACGAUCUGUAGCCGGCCUGAGAGGGCGGACGGCCACAUUGGGACUGAGACACGGCCCAAACUCC
rnacentral:rRNA from 1 species